rnacentral:rRNA from 1 species
GGAUUAGAUACCCUGGUAGUCCACGCCCUAAACGAUGAUGACUCGAUGUUUGCGAUAUACCGUAAGCGUCCAAGCGAAAGCGUUAAGUCAUCCACCUGGGGAGUACGCCCGCAAGGGUGAAACUCAAAGGAAUUGACGGGGGCCCGCACAAGCGGAGGAGCAUGUGGUUUAAUUCGAUGAUACGCGAGGAACCUUACCCGGGCUUGAAAGUUACUGAAGGGCGCAGAGACGCGCCCGUCCUUCGGGACAGGAAACUAGGUGCUGCAUGGCUGUCGUCAGCUCGUGCCG